AAUCACGAGAAUGUAAAAGGUGCUUGAGCGAUUCGACUCCGUAGCUGAUCGCUGUUUCGCUCCCGGAAUCUGUCGAGCAGAACGAGAUCGAUUCUUUCGGAUGCUGGAUUGAAUCACACGCGCUUCGACAUCCGAGAGGAAUGUGGGUAUGAAGGAGAGGAAUAAUACUACUUCCCUGCUUAGCCGCAUCUUGGUGAACUGUUCUUCCCAGGCAAAACUGUAUGGGAGCUGCGUCGCAGCAAAGGUUCCGGAGGUUGAACGUGAUAUGUGUUUGAAGGAAUUUCUUGCACUCAAGAGUUGCAUGCAGAAAACACUCCAACGAAAGGGUUGACCACAUACUACUGUCCAUCUAGUUGCGGAGGUGACAUGUGAGUAAACUGCAAUUGUUGUUUGUGGAAUCCUGAUUAGCAUCUUGGAGAAUCCUUUUUAGAAGGUUGAACAGCGAGAAACCUAUUGAUGUCUGGUUUAGCAUCAAGUUCACAUCCUGCUGUUGGCAUGAGUGGGUCGAGUGGGCUUUCACACGUUUAUAUUCAGCACCCACCUCUGCGUUGCAGCAUCCCAGGAUCUAGGGGUUUAUUUUACGAUGAUGGCAAUAAGAUUAUUCUUUCACCAGCCAAUGAUCAGGUUUACUCCUGGAAAGUUGUUCCCUUUGAUCCUGCGGUUGCUCCUAUCUCUGAUUCAAUAAGUGACGGUCCGAUUCUUGCAAUUCGUUUUUCUUUGGAUGGAAAGCUAAUUGCUAUUCAACGUUCAAACCAUGAAAUACAAUUUCAGCAUAGAGAAACUGGGGAAACUUUUAGUCAGACAUGCAAAUCAGAGUCAGAGAAUAUAUUGGGAUUUUUUUGGACCGACUGUCCAUUGUGUGACCUUGUUUUCGUUAAAACCAGUGGGCUAGAUUUGUUUGCUUAUAAUUCUGAGUCAAAGAUACUUCAUUUGGUGGAGACGAGGAAAUUGAAUGUGAGUUGGUAUGUGUACACACAUGAAAGUCGUUUGGUUCUACUUGCUUCCGGAAUGCAGUGCAAGACUUUCACUGGAUUCCAGCUUUCUUCUGUUGGAAUCAUUAGAUUGCCAAAAUUUGAGAUGUCCAUGGCAAAGACCGAGGCAAACAACAAGCCCGUGCUGGCUGCUGAGGAUGUUUAUAUUGUCACUGUCUAUGGUAGAAUAUACUGCUUGCAAGUUGAUAGAGUGGCGAUGCUACUUCAUUCAUAUCGGUUUUAUCGCGAUGCUGUUGUGCAACAGGGCUCUUUGCCAAUAUAUUCAAGCAAGGUCGCAAUCAGUGUGGUUGAUAAUGUGUUGCUCGUGCAUCAAGUGGAUGCCAAGGUCAUUAUACUAUAUGACAUAUUUCUGGACUCUCGAGCACCAAUAUCAGCUCCACUUCCGCUUUUGUUGAGGGGUUUUCCAAGAUCCAGUAGUUUGGGUGCGCGGUCCAGUUUUAAAGAUGUAGAAAGUUCAGAGGCAGCAAGCUAUCCAAGUGAUCAUGAAGCAACCAUGUACGGAGAUGACUGGACUUUCCUAGUGCCGGACCUGAUAUGUGACGUUUCCAGUAAACUGCUGUGGAAAAUUUAUCUUGAUUUAGAGGCCAUUGCUGCCAGUAGUUCAGAAGUGUCAUCAGUACUGGAUUUCUUGCAACGACGGAAGUUAGAAGCUUACAAGGCUAAACACUUGUGUUUGGCAAUGGCUCGUACUGCCAUUCUAGAGCGCAGACCUGUAACCAUGGUUGCGAAGGCAAUUGAUGUAUUAGUUACAGCCUACUCCAAUUCAUUCAAAACAGGUUAUUUUAAGGGAACAAAAGCUGAGAAAGCACAAGCUUCUGGUGCAGCAUAUGCUACUAUUCAUGGUACCGGUGCUAAUGCGAGCAGAUCAGAUACAACUGGAAAGUCUGUGGAGCGUGAAUAUGUUGUUGGAUUAGAUGCAGAAUCUUUUGAAAGAUCAACUUUUUCAGAGACAGACUCAGAUGAAAAUGGAAAUACGGGAUAUGCAAAACCCAAUUCCAACGGCAGCGGCAGUAAAUUGUUGUUGGGUGUUGAAACUCGGAGAACUGGAGGUCAAACAUCUUUACAUUCUGAAAAUGUCGGAGCAAGUAACAACAUUUUGAGAUCAACUUUACAGCCCGAGCCUCAAGUUACAUCACCUGCAGUUUCUCCUGAUGAGAUGUAUACAUACGUAUUUACUCCAGUUGAGGAAGAGAUGGCUGGAGACCCAUCAUACCUGGUUGCGGUCAUUGUUGAGUUCCUUCGCAGCUGUAAUCUGGAAAGGAUUAAGGUACGGCCAAAUAUUUAUGCCUUGACGGCACAACUGCUGGCUCGCAAUGAGAGAUAUGCAGAACUUGGGUUAUUCAUCCUAAACCAGAUUCUUGAACCUUCUAAAGAAGUUGCCUUGCAAUUAUUGGAGUCUGGUAGGCAUAACCGACAAAUUAGGAAGUUGGGUCUAGACAUGCUAAGGCAACUGUCCUUGCAUGACGAUUAUGUGGUAUUUUUGGUGCAAGAUGGAUAUUACCUCGAAGCUCUACGUUACAUGAAGAAGCAUAAGGUAACUACCAUACGUCCUUCGAUGUUCCUUGAGGCAGCAUUUGCUUCCAGUGAUUCACAACACCUAGCUGCGGUCCUCAGAUUUUUCUCAGAUUAUAUUCCUGGCUUCAGGAGCAGUCCUGAUCACAACACAUAUUACCAUCUUCUUAAUGAGAUGAGCAUGGCUGCUGUUUAGAUAUCUUAAAGAACUUCGGGAGAUUUUUCCUCGGCUAAGACUCUGAAUAGCCUCGCGGAAUGCAUGACAUCGAUCUGAGUUUUAAGCUUAAUGGCUGAUAAUAUUCCCUUACCAACGAUGCUUUGGUUUGCUGCUGAAUGGAAGGAAGCACAUGGUAUACGGCUGCUAGAACCCUUCUAGUGUUUUUCCUCAAUUUAAGAUUUCAGUUCUUGACUUCUUGUGGCAAUGCCAGCUACAGUUUGGAAUAAUCCCUGAGCAUCAUGUAAACUGCUUUCUCGUUCGAAAGGAAAAAACAAUUUCAUGCA